ACGUAGUACACAUGUUUAUUGCGUAGUACACAGGUUUAUUGAGCGCGCAAUAUUCAAAGACGGCAAAAACUUCGUCUCAAAUCAACAGUGAACUGAUGAUAUCGUCUCCCCAAUAAAGAUAUACAACGAGGAAGGUGAAAUUGCUCAAGCAAAUUAUCAGAAGAAGACCUUCAAAGCUGCAAUCGGUGAAAUUCACUGUCCUGCUGACAGUGUCCAAUGUGAAAGUUCAUCGAAAAGGCAGGAACUGCUGGGGGUCGUGUGGUUGAGGCUAGAUCUGACGGAUGGGAGGAUGAGUGCAGAAGCCUGUGUAGAAAGAUUCGGCGCAUGGAGGAGCGAAUUACUGCUUUAGAGAGUCAGAAUACAAAAGUGGAGGACCCCGAAUUAUAAGCUGUGGAAC